rnacentral:rRNA from 2 species
UCUGGUAUUGAUUGGUGCUUGCAUCAUGAUUUACAUUUGAGUGAGUGGCGAACUGGUGAGUAACACGUGGGAAACCUGCCCAGAAGCGGGGGAUAACACCUGGAAACAGAUGCUAAUACCGCAUAACAACUUGGACCGCAUGGUCCGAGUUUGAAAGAUGGCUUCGGCUAUCACUUUUGGAUGGUCCCGCGGCGUAUUAGCUAGAUGGUGGGGUAACGGCUCACCAUGGCAAUGAUACGUAGCCGACCUGAGAGGGUAAUCGGCCACAUUGGGACUGAGACACGGCCCAAACUCCUACGGGAGGCAGCAGUAGGGAAUCUUCCACAAUGGACGAAAGUCUGAUGGAGCAACGCCGCGUGAGUGAAGAAGGGUUUCGGCUCGUAAAACUCUGUUGUUAAAGAAGAACAUAUCUGAGAGUAACUGUUCAGGUAUUGACGGUAUUUAACCAGAAAGCCACGGCUAACUACGUGCCAGCAGCCGCGGUAAUACGUAGGUGGCAAGCGUUGUCCGGAUUUAUUGGGCGUAAAGCGAGCGCAGGCGGUUUUUUAAGUCUGAUGUGAAAGCCUUCGGCUCAACCGAAGAAGUGCAUCGGAAACUGGGAAACUUGAGUGCAGAAGAGGACAGUGGAACUCCAUGUGUAGCGGUGAAAUGCGUAGAUAUAUGGAAGAACACCAGUGGCGAAGGCGGCUGUCUGGUCUGUAACUGACGCUGAGGCUCGAAAGUAUGGGUAGCAAACAGGAUUAGAUACCCUGGUAGUCCAUACCGUAAACGAUGAAUGCUAAGUGUUGGAGGGUUUCCGCCCUUCAGUGCUGCAGCUAACGCAUUAAGCAUUCCGCCUGGGGAGUACGGCCGCAAGGCUGAAACUCAAAGGAAUUGACGGGGGGCCCGCACAAGCGGUGGAGCAUGUGGUUUAAUUCGAAGCUACGCGAAGAACCUUACCAGGUCUUGACAUACUAUGCAAAUCUAAGAGAUUAGACGUUCCCUUCGGGGACAUGGAUACAGGUGGUGCAUGGUUGUCGUCAGCUCGUGUCGUGAGAUGUUGGGUUAAGUCCCGCAACGAGCGCAACCCUUAUUAUCAGUUGCCAGCAUUAAGUUGGGCACUCUGGUGAGACUGCCGGUGACAAACCGGAGGAAGGUGGGGAUGACGUCAAAUCAUCAUGCCCCUUAUGACCUGGGCUACACACGUGCUACAAUGGAUGGUACAACGAGUUGCGAACUCGCGAGAGUAAGCUAAUCUCUUAAAGCCAUUCUCAGUUCGGAUUGUAGGCUGCAACUCGCCUACAUGAAGUCGGAAUCGCUAGUAAUCGCGGAUCAGCAUGCCGCGGUGAAUACGUUCCCGGGCCUUGUACACACCGCCCGUCACACCAUGAGAGUUUGUAACACCCAAAGUCGGUGG